CUCUGUGUGUCUCUCUCUUCCACACAUCAUGCAUUCUUACCAAUCAUGACUAAACACUUAUGCGAUAGAAGAAUAUGUUUUCAGUAACUCGCUGUGGGUCUUGGCUUGUAGAAAUCCCACAAGCCAGGCCCUGUGCCUUCGCUACGCUUUUGGUGAGAACUUCUGUGGACAGAGGCACAAAAGCCUCAAGCUGUGAGAUUCAAAAUCUGGUGCUUAAGCCAGCCCCUCAGCGCUCCCAGCCUGCGCCUCCAUCCUCGUUGGAAACGAUAAGCUGGAACGUGUCUUGAUGACUUUCAGCAGACAGACCUGCAAAGAAGAGAAGCUGGUCUGGACUCUGGCCUUCCUUCACAACACACUGACAGGCCCACCACAGCUGCCAAACAUGAGGUGAUGGGACAGCCCUCGUGGCCUCCACCCACUGCCCUGGUGGAGAAGUGAAACAUGAACCCACCAGUGCAAGACAGAGAAAGAGGCACCAGCGAAGAGCAAGUGGUGUGGAAUUCUAAGGCAAAAGUCACCCUGAUUGAAUGGUGUGGAUUAGUCAAGAACCCAGCACUGGGGUCAGCCUCUGGAAGCAAUUUAAGAUGACCCAAGGAUUUGAGAUUCCAACCUCCCGCAGGCAAGCAGAAGUGCUCCCUUCUACAUAGGGCCGCCCUCCUUCCUGAGCAACUGGGCUGAUUUGUGGAAGAAACAGCUGUGCUUUCUGGUGGGUUCCAAUGCCAAACACGUAGGCCUUGGAUCAGGCAGGAUGUUCCAUCAGCAGUCAUUGUUCACACCUGUGCUGUAUGGGCCGGGCAUCAAGCCAAUGUAACACCUCCUUUCACCCCACAACAACCCUGUACCAAGCACACACCCAUUUUACUCCUGAGGAAGCUGAGGCUCGGAGAAGCACCGCGCCCAGGGUCCUGUAACCACAGGUGACAAAAUGAAGGUGUAAAUGCAACCUGAGUGAUUCCUUUUGACGGAGCCACACCAUUUAAAUCAAUGCUGGGUGAUUGGAUUAUAUGUGAUUUUUUUUUAAUUAAAAACAUUUUUUGCCAGACACAGUUGCUCAUGCCUGUAAUCCCAGCACUUUGGGAGGCCGAGGUGAAGUGGAUCACUUGAGGUCAAGAGUUCGAGACCAGCCUGGUCAAUAGGAUGAAACCCCGUCUCUACUGAAAAUACAAAAAAUUAGCUGGGUAUGGUGUUGGGCGACUGUAAUCCCAGCAACUUGGGAGGCUGAGGCAGGAGAAUGAGUUUAACCUGGGAGGCGGAGGUUGCAGUGAGCUGAGAUCGCACCACUGCACUCCAGCCUGGGCAACAGAGUGAGAUUCUGUCUCAAAAAAACCCAAAAAACAAAACAAAAACAUUUUUUUCUCUAUAAUGAAUAGGAUUGCUUGUGUUUUAAAAGGGAGUAACCAAUCACAGCACUUGCAGAUAACAUUAUAUGUUACCUGGAAUCUGAUUUAAACUAUUCCAUGUGGGUGGUGGUGCAAAAAUAAAGUAAACUUAUCCGUGAAUUGAUAAUCCUUGAGGCUGAGUAUUGGGUAUGACAUUCAUUAUCCUAUUCUCCUGUAGUGAACGUGUUUGAGAAGUUC